AGCGAACGCUGGCGGCAGGCUUAACACAUGCAAGUCGAGCGGGCACUUCGGUGUCAGCGGCAGACGGGUGAGUAACACGUGGGAACGUACCCUUCGGUUCGGAAUAACGCUGGGAAACUAGCGCUAAUACCGGAUACGCCCUUUUGGGGAAAGGUUUACUGCCGAAGGAUCGGCCCGCGUCUGAUUAGCUAGUUGGUGGGGUAAUGGCCUACCAAGGCGACGAUCAGUAGCUGGGCUGAGAGGAUGAUCAGCCACACUGGGACUGAGACACGGCCCAGACUCCUACGGGAGGCAGCAGUGGGGAAUAUUGGACAAUGGGCGCAAGCCUGAUCCAGCCAUGCCGCGUGAGUGAUGAAGGCCUUAGGGUUGUAAAGCUCUUUUGUCCGGGACGAUAAUGACGGUACCGGAAGAAUAAGCCCCGGCUAACUUCGUG
rnacentral:rRNA from 1 species